ACUGUGUACAAGAGCUGCCUUCAGCCAAGAGCAAUUCCUAGAGAGGGACUCAGAAUGAGCCAUAAGUAACUGACAUAUGUGGAGCUGCGGAGCUGAGAGCCUAGGUGCUGAAGGCAUGAUCUAGGCUUGAAUAACAUUCCAAUCUGUACUGUGAAUGAUGAUGAGAAUGCAUUUGGAACAUUGUGGGGAGUUGGCCAGUCUAACUACUUAGAGAAGAACAGGAUACCAUUUGCCAAUUGCAGUUACCCACCCAGCACUGCAGUUCAGGAGAGCCCUGUAAGAGGAGUGUCGCCAGCCCCAAACGGUGCCAAAGUGCCUCCACGGCCUCAUUCUGAGCCCAGUAGAAAAAUUAAAGAGUGCUUCAAAACUUCCAGUGAGAAUCCCUUAGUAAUUAAAAAGGAAGAAAUUAAGGCCAAAAGACCACCAUCACCUCCAAAGGCAUGCUCUACUCCUGGCUCCUGUUCUUCAGGGAUGACAAGUACCAAGAAUGAUGUGAAAGCAAACACCAUUUGCAUACCAAACUAUCUGGAUCAGGAAAUA
rnacentral:sRNA from 1 species